rnacentral:rRNA from 1 species
CAGUCGUACCAGCGGGAAAUCAACCUUUCGAGUGGGGGUUUUGGAGUUUAAGAGUGUUAAAACCUUGAGAUUUCAAAAUAUUCGCUCUUUUGGUGUACUUUCUCGUGGGUAGGUUAACAUCGAUUUUGAUCAUCAUAAAAAGAUUGGAGGAAUGUAGCUUCGAUCUUGUAUUGAAGUGUUAUAGCCUUUGGUAAAUGUGAUGAUUAGGAUCGAGGAUUGCAACGAAUACCCUUUUGGGCUAUCCGCCUGAUCUCUGAUACGUGGCCUUGGUAUUGAAAGCGUGCUUAUGGUAUUAAGGUAUUACGGUCAAAAGGUUAGAACGGAUUACA